AGAACUCAGUUCUCCCCUUCAGAAGAGAAGGUCCUGUGUAUCCUUAAGGAAAUUUGGGACUCUACACUGUAAGUCAGCUUCAACUUUGCCUUCACCAAACCCUCAGAAGUUACACAGUUAGAAAGAGGACACAGAUUGAAGUCCUGUCCUUUUCAACAGGUUGAUCCUAUUUAACCGCAGUGAAAACGAGUCACACUUGCUACACAUCGGGCUUGAGCAGAGACGGCAACAUGACAUUUCGUUGCCUUCUUACUGAUAGUAAAGUAGAAGCCGAACCCCGCUCCUCCAAAAAAACCCUCAAAACAAACAAAUCCCACUAAACCUGGAAGCAUUACCAAAGCAAGAUGCUUUACGGAUAGAAAACUUGCGCCAGGACCUUAACAUUAAGGAGAGGCACAUAUGGUUUCCAACAGCCCUUCCCAGGGGAAACACCGCCGGCAGGUGCUGGGAAGGUGCUGAGCCCAGCUGGGGAAGGUGCUGAGCCCAGCCGUGCCCCGCUCGCUGGCCCGCACACUCCGGGCCGAUGAGGCACACACGGGCCCAGCUCCCGAGCGCGUCACGGCCGGCGCCGCGCGGCUCCCCCGGCCCGCGGGGAGGAGGAGGCGGCCCGGCCUGACUCACCGCGGAGGAGGGGCGAGCGCACCGGCCCGGGCAGCGGGCGGCGGCCGCCGGCGGACCCCGUGCCCCGCCGCAGCGCAGGGCGUAUUCCACGAUUCGGGGACAUAGCAUUGCACGGCGUGGGUGGGCGCUCUCCGGCCGCUUGUCCGUGCCUGUCCGUGGCCACACGUGCACAUAGGAUCUGUGAGGAUUAAACCAACACCAGUGACUCUGGAGUGCUGAGAACGGGCAAAAGCAUCCCAUAAGAUUUCUGGAUCCCAUAGGUACAGUUUAUUUGGUGAUUUAUGGAUAUGAAUAUCUUUUUCAAUUUAUAAGGUGUCUUUUCAUGGACCUCAGGCUCUGCUGAGAAAUCUGAGGGGAAAAACAGGAUUGGGAAGGUUUUACAUGGCAGAGGAUAUGCAAGGUGCCUGCAGGUCUGGAGCAGGACACACUGAUCCCAUAAGGUAGUGCAAAGACAGAUUGAACUACCAGAUUUUACAAUUACUAAAUGUGGUGUUGAGCAAAACAUAAACAUUUUGCAGGUACAAAUCAAUUUCUGUAAUUGUAUUUAUUGGGGAAAAACAAACAAAAAACCCUUUUCAAUAAAGAAGAAAGGUUCUGUUUCAACAAUUGUAAAAACCAACAUUUUAACACAGCAUUUCCAAAUAAUUUCAUGUACGGAUUUUUUUUCAAAUAAUAUACAAAUAUUUGUAUAUAUAUAAUAUAUAAUGUAUAUAUAAUAUACUAAUACAAACAUAAUGCUGAAUUCUUUUUCUUUUCCUUUACAGUAAACAGUAAAGUGUGUAAUAUAUAUUACAUUUUAUAUUGUCAGGAGCUGCUUCUCAAAGAACAUCUUUAAUAUUGGAAUGGAGGGAGUUUUACAAAAUCUACUGAGUUGUUUAAAGGUUGGUUGUUGAAGACUUUCAUUAAGGGGGAAAACCCCAAACCUGACACCGACUUUAAUGGGAAGUAUUGUGAAUUCUUUAAUCUAAAAGGAAUCAAAGUAGUUUCUAGAUUGAGUAUCUGCAGGGUCCAGCAGUCAAAUGCAAAAUGCUGCUCCACCAAGUAGAAUGCUUCAGAGUAAGACAUAAGGGGCAGGUAAAGGAUAAAAAAUAUUUCCUAUGAAAGCCAUGGGAGGUGAUGUGGGACAAGGUAACAAAGUUACUGGCAGAGGAACUGACAGUUACUGUCACUGUUCCUUGAUUUCUGUGGUGUUCUGCAAGCACCUCCCACCCCUCUCUGAGAAACACCAAGGUGAGCCUGGGGAAAAAACCUCCAGUGGACAAUUUAUUAGAGAAGUCUCUGAACUGAGAUCACACUUGUCAAGAAUUUUAAGCUAAAUAAAUUAACAAAAUACUUCAAAACUUGUCAAAGGAUUCAUUUGGAUAUGUUAUGUGGGUGUAUGGUGGUCUACAUACAUCUGCUCCAUUGUGGGAAAUGAAAAACACUUCCUCCCAAAAUAACCAAGAGUUUGGCAUUGACUUGGGAACUGUUGGAUUGAAUUCACUCUACGUUCAGACUUGAGGUACCCAAGAAUUAUUGUUCAUAAGCAAAUUUGGAUCCUUCCAGAUAUGCCGCUUCUCUUUCCCCGGCUAGCUGAUGUUAAGAGUGAGAGGCGGCAGUUUUUCCCCCUGGAGCUCCAUUGAAUCCCAGCUGUCAGUUGUUUCGGCGCAGCAUAAAACACAGGCAGCGCACAGGGGUCCCAGGGAAACUUUAUUUGAUGGUGUUUCUUCCCCUCUUUCUUCCUGGGCCCCCAUUAAGGGGCCAACAAAGACUUAUAUCUCAGGGGAAAGGCAGGGGCAGACCCAACUUCCAACAAAUCAGGAGAGUUGGGAGUAAAAACCUAGGCGGGGAAUAACAGUAAUGAACCAAUAAACUUCCAAGGAAGAAAAACAGUUUUAGGAAAUGGGUAAAGUUUGGAGAAAUAGAAACUAGAAACUAGCUGAUGACAUCUCUGGGAAAAGGGUGGAGACAAAAGAAAAAACAGCACCAAGGAAAAACACUAAAUCACAAAUCAAACCAUAGACCCACUGAUAAAACAAAAAGCACGAUACAACACAGAUGGAAGGAUUUAAAGGACUGCCACAAGGAUUUGUGUGUUGCAAAACACGAAAAACUUCUGAGCGAAUUAAUGAUGAGUACCUGGCUGGCUGUGAUAUAUGAAAAACCUGAUUCCAGGCUAGAGCUGAAAGACAUGAAAUUGGGAAAAAAGGUGAUGAUGAUGAUGAUCCUGUUCCCUGCCUGCUGCUUUGUGUCCCUGCCCCAAUGCUCCUGGUGUCAUCUGAGGGGUUAAGGCAAGUGCACAGGAGGUGGUGUUGCUCUAGCAGAGUGUAAGGUGUAGCUGGAAGGACCUGAUGAAGACAAUUAGCUUUCCAGAGCCCUGAAAUGCUUGGUGAGAGGCACACUGGCUUGCUCCCCUGACUUGCUCCCCGGACCUUUGAUUAUUUACCAUUUUAAAGAGACUGGAUGCCAGCCAGCUGCAGGCUCUGUGAGGAGGCAAAGGAACGGGAUGAGUGUCUUUGCAAAGGGCUUUGCAAGUGGUGAUUUAGAGGAUAGUCACAAACAAGUGUAGUAGCCAAAUUUCCCCUCAGAAAUCCCUUCCGCAGCCACUCACGCUGACCACAAACCACAUCUUUACCAACGACUCGAAUGGCACAGAGACCACACACAGCUGCACUGAACGUGUGUGUGCCUGCACUGUGAAAUAGAUGGGCAGGAGAUCUUUCUCCUUUUUAAUGCCUUUAUUAAAAAGAAUCAGCUCAGGUGGGGAGAAAUCGAUGGGUCGCAUCCACACUGCCAUUGCUCCUGGAGUGGCACGGAGGAGGAGGAGGAUGAUGAUGCAGCUUUGUCCGCUGGUCUGCAGGCAGAGCUGGGGAUUCCGUUCUCAUGAGAGAUUAGGAGAUUCCGUCUUUUCGGUCCAACACCUCGGGUCCUCUCUCUAGUCAACAUCUUUUGAGAAUAGGGUGAGAAGCAAAAGGGAUCCAAGCGGGCACUGGACGACGUGCCCAUCCGUAGACAUCACCUAGGUCCCCUAAUUCUAUGUUGGCUCGUUGUUUUUGGGGGUUUUCCUGGAAAACUGUAAAAUUUGGUGCAAUGCAUUUCUCAUCUGCAUACUAGCUCUGAUGCCACUCCCCUGCCUUGCUGCUUGCAGGGUCCCAGUGUCACUCCCUGGCAAGCAUCAGGGGGACAAUGGUUAAUCACCAACCAUUAACAGGCAAUUGAAGAAGAACUCUUAACAAUGAAGCUAACUUAAUAGCAACUGGUCCAGCUUGUUUUAACUCUGCAACCUGAAACAAAAAUAGAUAACUUUUUAUUCAUAACACACUGCAGAAGGAAGACGGAGACUGGCAGAGCCCCCGCCACCUCCCUGCUUGGUCAGGGCAGACACGGGCGAGCUGCAGCAGCACCGGCGAUCUACGGGGACCCUCGGUCCGAGCUGGGCAGCUGCAGAUCGGAGCCCAGGCAGAGGCUCGGCGUGAGCGCUUCAGCUCAGAGCCGCACACGCUGCCUUCGCCCCUCCAACACCUCUCUUGGACAUGGCCUUUCCCUUCAAUUUAAUAGUUCUUUCUGAAGCCAUUGCCGGGCUGUGCAAUCCUUUCCACAGUGACGAUCCGCGCGUCACUACGGAAGGCACGAUGGCGGGAAGGGGCGGCGCCAGGUCGGCAUCAGGCAGCCGAGGAGACACCUUUGUAAGGAGCGAGGGCCUUCGUGGUACCACACCAAAGAUGGCGACCCAGCAGAAAGCUGCUUCUGCCAGCACCCAAGAUGGUGACGAAGUGAGGCGGUGACGUGAUGCCACACCAACGAUGGCGUCUCACUCGGGAGUUACUUCCGCCAGUA